GGGCAACACAGGGCGCAAAGCAGAAGGGGGAGGGGACACACCCUGGACGGAUGCCAGUCCGCCGCAAGGGACCCCAAGCGGGACUCGAACCCCAGAGCCACCACACAGCAGGCACUAACCAUAACUUUACCUAAAUAAUGGAAUUUACUCUGUACCCAAGACCUUCAGCUAUGCCCUCCUUUAAAAAGACUCCUGAGCACUUAGUUUUAAUACCAGCUGGAGAACUGUGAAAUCCAAAGAACUAGUAUAAUACUCCUACUACUAAUAGUAAUAAUAAUAACAAUAAUAAUAAUAUGAAGAAGAACUAUGUUUAAAAGCGCAACCAGCAAAUAUUUCAACUAGUAACAACGUCUCUAUGCCCUCCCUUUGUCUUUCUCUCUCUCUCUCUCUCUCUCUCUCUCUUUCUGUCUGUGUCUGUCCCCAGGACAAUGCGAGCGCUCAUCGAGUGGCGCGCGCGGAGGAGCUCGGCAGCGGAGCGAGGAUAAGAAGAUGCCGUUUUGACGACGGGAGGCAACUCGUUAUUGCGGGGUUCAGAGCUCUGUCCUCGCAGCCUGAGCGCCGCUCCGCUCCUCUCCUCUCCUCCCUGGAUACUGUGUGCGACCUAGAAGCGCCAUGGAUCUCUCGUUUAUGGCCGCGCAGGCUGUUCUUGUUACCACAGCAACACAGGAUGGGAGACAGCAGAUUUGUGCUUCCACGGAAACUGCUUGGACACAAAAGAAAAUAAGUGAGUGGGUAACCCCAGGUCUCAGCUGGAUGAGGAGUGCUGAUGAGGUGCCUCGGUGCCCGAGCUGUGCCGUCUCCAGAUGUGCGCAGAUGUGCUCCGUGCAUGAUCAUGAAGAAAAGAUGGAAUAAUGUUGAUCUGUCCAGCUCCACUCCUUUUUUUCCCACUGAACAUGAUAUAAGUGUUGCUUUAAAGGUUCUGAUAAAUUCAUGCAAAGAGCACGCACCAUGCCUGUAUAAUCAGUAUUAAGAGCAGGAGGAAACAUACUGCUGAUGUCAUUAGUUGGGGGAGGAGCAGCCUAAUCCUGGAUCUCAGCUGUCUCUGAUAUGUCUUCAUUUGUUGACAAAUGGAUGUGCUCCCCUGCUAGGUUCACUCUUCUGGAACACACAAAUGUUGAUAAAACACAAGCUGUAAUGCACCACCAUCAAUCAGAAUUAUGUGUUGACUUGGCGAUGAUGAUCAUCAUUAUUCUGGUGUCUUCAGACAUGAAUGAUGAAUGUAUGGGUACAAAAAGAAUAUCUCUUAUAUACCAUCCUGUCUUCCAUACCUAUCGCUCUCUUUAAUAAUGUGCAUAUUUAAUAAGGCAUUAAAAGCUCAAGAAGAAGAUGAUUCUGAAUAUUACCAUUGUGAAAACUGGUUUCCCCCCCAACUUAAGUUAAUUAAUGUCUGAAAGAGAGUUAAACUGCUACUCCCUUUGACAAUGCCAACUGAAAGCAGUCUAAACUUACAUUUUCAGAGUCAUCUUAUACAUGGCAUUCAAUUCAGGCAAAAUAUCCUGAAUUCUGGUUGAAUGUACUAACUUAAGAACUACUUGACACAUGACUAGGCAUGAUUAUCUAUGACCUGCUUGAGCCUGAGUUUAAAUACAUAGUGACUCAGCAUUAAUGCAUAAAGCAGAAUUAUUUUUAAAUAAAAAUUGUUCUUCUUUCUAUGUGCUUUCUUAG
ensembl:lncRNA